rnacentral:rRNA from 1 species
AGAGUUUGAUCCUGGCUCAGAACGAACGCUGGCGGCAGGCCUAACACAUGCAAGUCGAACGAUCCUUCGGGAUAGUGGCGGACGGGUGAGUAACGCGUGGGCACCUGCCCUGGAGUGGGGAACAACCGCUGGAAACGGCGGCUAAUACCGCAUACGCCUCGUAAGAGGGAAAGCUUUAUGCGCUCCGGGAGGGUCCCGCGUCCGAUUAGCUAGUUGGCGGGGUAACGGCCCACCAAGGCGACGAUCGGUAGCUGGUCUGAGAGGAUGAUCAGCCACACUGGGACUGAGACACGGCCCAGACUCCUACGGGAGGCAGCAGUGGGGAAUAUUGGACAAUGGGGGCAACCCUGAUCCAGCCAUGCCGCGUGCGUGAAGAAGGCCUUAGGGUUGUAAAGCGCUUUCACCCACGACGAUGAUGACGGUAGUGGAGAAGAGCCCCGC